GUACCAAUAAAAGUUAUUACUACAAAAAAAAAAGAAAGAGGGGAAAUUAUAAAGAUCAGGGCAGAAAUCAAUGCAAUGGAGAAUAAGAGAACAAUACAAAAAUCAAUCAACAAUGCAAUGGAGAAUAAGAGAACAAUACAAAAAAAAUCAAUCAAAGAGUUGGUUUUUUUCAAAGAAUAAAUAAAAUCGAUAAACCUUUAGCCAAUCUUAUCAAAAAAGGGAAAGAAAAGGCACAAAUACAUGCAAUUAAUAAUGAAAAAGGUGGAUGGCGACCGCGCGCUGGCCCGGUCUUGGUGGGGCGUGAGUGAGGUCGCUGGCUGGAACACGGGUGCUGGUGGAACGCCGCGGGGCCAGACACACUGUCGGAGUCUGGAGACGAGAAAACAGGAGCCGAAACAGCCCAGGACCCCCACCUCCCGCAGCAACGAACGCUUCUCUCAAGACGGGCCGUGUGUUUAUCAAUUUUAUUAGACUUAGGAGAUCUUCAAUAUUCUCUCAAAUUAAAAAAAGUAUCAGCUCCAUGAAGUGGCGCAAGUUAGUGGCACGCAUGCCUGCAAUUCCAACACAGGGAGGCCGAGGCAGGACUGUAAAUUCGAGCUCAGCUUCAGCAACUCUGCGAGACCCUGUCUCAAAAUUUUAAAAAGUGAAAAAGGGCCGGAGACGUAGCUCAGUGCGAAACCUGUGGGUUUAGUCCCCAGUACCAAAAAAUAAAAAGUACAAAAGCUACAUACAAAAUGUGAGAUCAGACGACUAAACUUUCCCGACUGAGGGCCAAGUUCUGCAAGAGAAAGAAAAGGCCUCUUCUAGCAGCCGCCCAUCAUAUUGGGGAUCCCUGGGCCUGGAGCCAUCAUCUCGAGGGUCCCGGGACCGGUAGCGGGAUCUGGGGUCAGCAGGAGGGCGGUCCCUACUAGACUUGAAGUCAUCACAAUGGGGAUCUCCAGAGUGUGGGAAGUCCCUCGAGACGUCUGGGUUGAAGAGGUCAUCACGGCUGCGGCUUCGAGGGGGUGCAUAGGCCCUUCCUCUCCUCCCGCUACUUGCAGGAGACCUUGCAGAUUCUGCGGAACCUGGCUGGGACUCUCAUGGAAUCAUCCUGCUGAUUGGCCUGGAUCCGGUAGCCACUACGGACUUCUAGAGACAGAGGCGGAAAUGACCAGGACCCCUGAAGCCAGGGGACAUCAGCUUACUGAGUCCCAUCUCCUACGUCAUUCCUGAAAGAGCUUUUGGAAUAGAGUGCACACUGGUGGCCCACAGCCCCGAUCUCGCAGGCCAAUAUAUUUAACGUGACGGUAGUUUGCCAACAUUUGACAAUCAAAAGGUUUUACACAGAACUCCAACUUUCCAGAUACCUUAGCAAUAAAUGCCUCUGCCCUGGAAAAAAAAAAAAAAGAAUGAAAAAGGUGAAGUCACAACAGAUCCAACAGAAAUCCAGAGGAUCAUCAAUACAUACUUUAAGAACCUCUACUCCAAUAAAAUGGAAAUCACAAAAUAAAUGGGCAGAUUCCUAGAUACAUACAAAUUGCCAAAGUUAAAUGAAGAAGAUAUAGAAAUUCUAAACACCCCAAUUACAAUGAGUGAAAUUGAAAAUGUAAUAAAAUAUUUACCAACAAAGAAAAGCCCAU
rnacentral:lncRNA from 1 species